UACGUAGGGCGCGAGCGUUGUCCGGAAUUAUUGGGCGUAAAGAGCUCGUAGGCGGCCGGUUGCGUCUGCUGUGAAAUCCCGGGGCUUAACCCCGGGCGUGCAGUGGAUACGGGCCGGCUGGAGGCAGGCAGGGGAGAAUGGAAUUCCCGGUGUAGCGGUGAAAUGCGCAGAUAUCGGGAGGAACACCUGUGGCGAAAGCGGCGCACUGGACCAUAACUGACGCUGAGGCGCGAAAGCUAGGGGAGCAAACAGG
rnacentral:rRNA from 1 species